rnacentral:rRNA from 1 species
ACAAGUUACAACAUAGUGUCAAUGCACCAGAUCCCAUUAGAACUCCGUAGUUAAGCGUGCUCAGGCUAGAGUAGUACUGGGAUGGGUGAUCACCCAGGAAGUCCUAGUGUUUUACAUGCC